UUAGUGGCGAACGGGUGAGUAACACGUGAGUAACCUGCCCCCUUCUUCGGGAUAACGGUCUGAAAGGGCUGCUAAUACCGGGUAUUCACUGGUCUCCGCAUGGGGGCUGGUGGAAAGGUUGUUUUUCUGGUGGGGGAUGGGCUCGCGGCCUAUCAGCUUGUUGGUGGGGUGAUGGCCCACCAAGGCUUUGACGGGUAGCCGGCCUGAGAGGGUGACCGGUCACAUUGGGACUGAGAUACGGCCCAGACUCC
rnacentral:rRNA from 1 species